UACGUAGGAGGCAAGCGUUGUCCGGAAUUACUGGGCGUAAAGCGCGUGUAGGUGGUGGGACAAGUCUGCUGUGAAAGCGCCUGGCUUAACCGGGCGAGGUCGGCGGAAACUGUCCGACUCGAGGACGGUAGAGGGGGGUGGAAUUCCCGGUGUAGUGGUGAAAUGCGUAGAGAUCGGGAGGAACACCUGUGGCGAAGGCGACCAUCUGGACGGAUACUGACGCUGAGACGCGAAAGCGUGGGUAGCAAACAGG
rnacentral:rRNA from 1 species